rnacentral:rRNA from 1 species
UACGGGGGGGGCAAGCGUUGUUCGGAAUUACUGGGCGUAAAGGGCUCGUAGGCGGCCAACUAAGUCGGAUGUGAAAUCCCCAGGCUUAACCUGGGAACUGCAUCCGAUACUGGUUGGCUUGAAUCCGGGAGAGGGAUGCAGAAUUCCAGGUGUAGCGGUGAAAUGCGUAGAUAUCUGGAGGAAUACCGGUGGCGAAGGCGGCAUCCUGGACCGGCAUUGACGCCGAGGCGCGAAAGCCAGGGGAGCAAACGGG